UACGUAGGGUGCGAGCGUUGUCCGGAAUUACUGGGCGUAAAGAGCUCAUAGGUGGUUUGUCGCGUUGUCCGUGAAAACUCACAGCUUAACUGUGGGCGUGCGGGCGAUACGGGCAGACUGGAGUACUGCAGGGGAGACUGGAAGUUCCUGGUGUAGCGGUGAAAUGCGCAGAUAUCAGGAGGAACACCGGUGGCGUAAGGCGGGUCUCUGGGCCGAAUACUGA
rnacentral:rRNA from 1 species